ensembl:misc_RNA Metazoa_SRP Metazoan signal recognition particle RNA
GCUGGGUGUGGUGGCGUGUGCCUGUAAUCCCAGCUACUUGGGAGGCUGAGGUGGGAGAAUCGCUUGAACCCAGGAGGUGGAGUUUGCUGUGAGCCGAGAUCACUCCACUGCACUCCAGCCUGGGUGACAGAGUGAGACCCUGUCUCAA